AUGUAUUCAUUUCCUGCUCAGGUACUUCAAAUGAUUCAUCGAGUUCCAAAAAUGGGACGAAGACUGAUGGCCAAUCUAUUAAACAUGGCAGCAUGGGAUCCAGUGUAGCAAUAAUAUGCCUUGUUAUUGUGGCUGUUGUGCUUUUAUCUUUUUUCCUAUUCAAGUUUUGGCAAAAGAAGAAGCGUGAAGAGCAGUACGCUCGCUUGCUUAAGUUGUUUGAAGAGGAUGAUGAGCUUGAGGUUGAGCUUGGUCUUCGGGAUUGAGCUUUUGUUCAUCUCUCAAUGUGUUGAACAUAACUGAGAUGUAAUUGGCAAUUCACUUUGGCGAAUUGUUGUAUGGACGCAAUGUGAUUAUGGGCAAUCGUCUACCCCCAUGUUGAAGUUCAUAUAUUUUAAAUUUCUAGAUUGUAGCAUAUGUAUCAAUAUGAGUGAAAUCAGGAAACUUGGGGUAUUCCCUUUUUGGAGAAUCAUUUGUUGACACGUGAUGAAUGACAAUCAAUGGUUGCAGCUGAAAUUGUAUGAUUGUACAUAUCUCAGCUUCAUCCUUGGAUAGAAUUGUGGCCCCGUAGUUGUAGAGAAGACGUGUAUCUCAUUGAGUUCUCCGAGAAAUCAAGAUUAUUUUUGCCAAACCUCAGUUUGGCAAUCCUGUAUGUAGAAUUCAAGUUAUUAUAUGCACAUCAUGUUUUGUUUGUUUGU